rnacentral:rRNA from 1 species
UACGUAGGGUGCGAGCGUUAAUCGGAAUUACUGGGCGUAAAGCGUGCGCAGGCGGUUUUUUAAGGCAGGUGUGAAAUCCCCGGGCUUAACCUGGGAACUGCAUUUGUGACUGCAAGGCUAGAGUAUGGCAGAGGGGGGUAGAAUUCCACGUGUAGCAGUGAAAUGCGUAGAUAUGUGGAGGAAUACCGAUGGCGAAGGCAGCCCCCUGGGUCAAUACUGACGCUCAUGCACGAAAGCGUGGGGAGCAAACAGG